UGUUCGAAUACUCAGAACAUGUGAUGAGUUUAGGUGGUUUACUCUGCGAACUUUUUUCAGAAGCACUAGGUCUAGAAUCUGAGAUACUUAAGAGCAAGGGGUGCUUGAAGGGUUUGUCUAUGCUCUGCCAUUACUACCCACCUUGUCCACAACCUGACCUAACUUUGGGGGUAAGUAAACACUCAGACAACUCCUUCCUCACGGUUCUUCUUCAAGACAACAUCGGUGGUCUACAAAUUCUUCAUCAAGACUCUUGGGUUGAUGUGGCUCCUCUUCCUGGAGCUCUCGUCAUCAACGUUGGAGAUUUCUUGCAGGUAAAGUAAGAAUUUGAAAAGAUUAGGAUAUGCCAAAUGCUUUUUGUUUAUUUUUGUGUUUUAUUUAUUGCAGCUGAUAACGAACGAUAAGUUUGUAAGUUUGGAGCAUAGGGUGCUUGCGAAUAGACAAGGACCAAGGAUUUCAAUUGCAUGCUUUUUUAGCUCAAGUAAACAUGCCAAUUCCACAGUUUAUGGACCAAUGAAAGAGCUUGUAUCUGAAGAAAACCCUCCAAAAUACAGAGACAUUACCAUAAAAGAAUACACAGAAGGAUACUUCAAGAAAGGUCUGGAUGGAAUGUCACAUCUCUUGAAUUUCAGGAUAUGAAAAUAAAACCACAGGAAAAAAAAUUGUGGUGUAUUUUAGCAUCAAUCUCUCUGUUCUUGGAUCUGCAAUAACUUAACCAGUAUAUGUACGUGUUGAACGACUCUAUAUUUGGAUCUUUCUAUUUUAGUCAUAUGCAUCAGACUAUUUAGUUGUUAAAUACAUUGCACUGAGUUGAUCAUAUGAUUUAAAACUUUAUUUGCUUACGUCCUCUUUAGUUCAUGUUUGAGAGCUUAACUAAGAAGUUUUUUUUACGUUAGCACUUGGUAUCAAGAGAAUACCACAUCACUUUUAAUCUGCGGAAACAACUAUACACAACUCAACCAAGAAAUCAAUUGAGACCAGUUAGAGCAUCUUUAUCCCUGAACUCCAUUAAGAGUUUCUUAAUUUUUAAUUUUUUAAUUUUUUUUGAUUAAAAAAUAAUAAUUAAAAAGCGUACCAAUCGCGGACCAACACGUAUCGGUGGGAUCCGUAAACAGUGCAAAAAACACACAACACAGAUCUCUUAUUUUGCACACAUAACACACUGUUUUUUCCUAAACCGUGGCCCUCCUAAAAGACGCUCAAAAGAGAACGAUAAAAAUGUUCUUAUUUCAACCAACGGAUUCCAAUCAAAAUAUAAAAAUAUAAAUAAAAGUCUAACGGACAUACAAAUAUAUAAUAAAUAUACUUAGAAAUAAAUAUAAAUAUUUCUAAAUAUCUUUAUAUUUGAAUAUCUUUAUUAUAUGUUUGUAUAUUUCUUUACAAUAUACAAAAUAAAGAUAUUUAGAAUAUUAUCAGAUAAAAUAACGAGAUUAUGAAUAGCUCAUCCGAUAUACUAGCUGAAAAUUCAAAGAGAAAUUAUAUCAAAGUCUCGAGUAAUUAGCUAAUGUAAUUAGUCCACAAAAGCGGAGAAGAAAAUUCAAUUACGACAAAUCGUCGUUUAAAGUGAGUGUGACAGUGAGUGAGAGACAACAUAGUCAUGUGAAUUAAUCAUCAGUUACAGUCAGAACCCACGAAAACGGACAUAAGUUGGUCCCACACAGUAAAGACCAGACUCUCCUACCGUCGAUUCUCAGUCGUUCUUUUAUUUAUCUUCACAUUGCUACUUCUUCUCCUAAGCAGAAAACAAUGGUGACCAAAAAUUCUGUUGAAUUCGAUCCGUAUAUCGAACGAAAGGCUUUCGAUGAGACGCAAGAAGGAGUCAAAGGGCUUGUCGAUGCCAAAAUCACCCAAGUCCCACGUAUCUUCCACAUCCCACAAGGUUCCUUGACCGACAAGAAACCCUCUGUUUCAGACCUAGAGAUCCCUAUCAUCGACUUUGCAAGCGUUCACGUGGACCCAUCGUCACGUGAAGCCGUCGUGGAGAAGGUCAAACACGCGGCAGAGAAGUGGGGAUUCUUCCAGGUGAUCAAUCAUGGUAUUCCUUUGAACGUUCUUAAAGAGAUUGAAGAUGGAGUUCGUAGGUUUCACGAGGAAGAUCCUGAGGUCAAGAAACGAUAUUUCUCGCGUGAUUUCAACAAGAAAAAAUUCGUGUACAAUAGUAACUUCGAUCUAUACAGUGCUUCUCCAUCUGUUAAUUGGAGAGAUGCUUUCUCUUGUUACAUGGCUCCAGAUCCUCCACCUCCUGAGGAUCUCCCAGUGGCUUGCAGGUAAAGUAAACAGACUAAUACUUCCUUUGUUUCCCUUUUAAUUGGAAAUUAUUGAAGUUUCAAUCGAUUAAAUACUUAAAUCUUGUUAUCUUUAAAUAGUUGGGUCUAGUGGCUAAAAUUAUCGGAUUUUGCUUAUGAAGUCAUAUGUUUAAUUUCCAUUGAGAAGAGUAUUUUUCGAAAAAGAGUUAAUUUAACAUGGUAUGAAUAUCCUCUUAUGAUGAUGUAUGAGUUUUUGGACCAAGAACUUUUUACCCAUUCAAAAACAAAUAUUUUAGUUAAAUUUUCUUCAUUAGUGAACCAAAAAAAUAAAAAAAUAAUCAAAAUUCUUGACUCAGGGAUGCUAUGAUGGAAUACACAAAGCAUGUGAUGAGUUUAGGUGAUUUGCUAUUUGAGCUCCUUUCAGAAGCACUAGGUUUGAAAUCUGAGACCAUGAAAAACAUGGACUGCUUGAAGAGUUUGCUUAUGAUCUGCAAUUAUUACCCACCUUGUCCACAACCUGACCUAACUAUGGGGAUAAGUCAACACUCAGACAACUCUUUCCUCACCAUUCUUCUUCAGGACAACAUCGGCGGUCUUCAGAUUCUUCAUCAAGAUUCUUGGGUCGAUGUCUCUCCUAUUCCAGGAGCUCUUGUC
rnacentral:lncRNA from 1 species